CUGUUUGAAGAGCAGAGCAUGCACCAUCAGCUCCAGCUCCCCACAGUGUCAACAUUAGAUGUGGGUGUGUAACAGAUAUAGUGCAUUCCCAGAGUGUCAUUACCUGAGGAGGACUUGUGAGUAGCUGCCUGUCACCACUGAGGGGGCUGGCCUGAACCUUGUCACCACUUCAAGGAAGUCCCUAUCCCUAGAGGCCUGUCAGCAUGUGAGCAAACUAAAGCCAGAAAUACCUUAAACUCUGCCACAAAAUGUCUGGAAUCGUACAAAAGUUCACAUUUCAAAUAGAACUGCUUUUGGCUGGCGUGUUUCACAUCUAUCACUACUCUACAAUUACGAAGUAAGACAUUUGUGGCCUAGGGGUGCCGUGAAAAAAAAUCUGAGAUUCUAGGGCGCCGUGAUUCAAAAAUGUUUGGAAACCACUGCCCUAAGCAGGUCGUCCUCGUGAGCUGGAUGGCCCUUUACCACUGGUGUCUGGUCGAGUUCGACCAGAACGUCUGGGUGGGGACGUUACAGGUGACACUAAGGGGGUUGUGGUUGCGGAACUGGAACUUGUGUGUUCACCUUGAUGAGUGAGAUGCUGUUUAAGAUCUGCGAGUAGGUUUGAUGGAGCCUGUGAUUCAGUGGGUUGGCCUGGCUGACUUGGCUGAAGAUUGGUGUCUGCUGAAAAGAGAAACCAGUUGUGUG